rnacentral:rRNA from 1 species
CAGUCGCCACGGUAAUACGUAGGGUGCGAGCGUUAAUCGGAAUUACUGGGCGUAAAGCGUGCGCAGGCGGUUAUAUAAGACAGAUAUGAAAUCCCCGGGCUCAACCUGGGACCUGCAUUUGUGACUGUAUAGCUAGAGUACGGUAGAGGGGGAUGGAAUUCCGCGUGUAGCAGUGAAAUGCGUAGAUAUGCGGAGGAACACCGAUGGCGAAGGCAAUCCCCUGGACCUGUACUGACGCUCAUGCACGAAAGCGUGGGGAGCAAACAGGAUUAGAUACCCCCGUAGUCCCUGUCUCUUAUAC